rnacentral:rRNA from 1 species
AGUGAACGCUGGCGGUAGGCCUAACACAUGCAAGUCGAACGGCAGCACAGUAAGAGCUUGCUCUUACGGGUGGCGAGUGGCGGACGGGUGAGGAAUACAUCGGAAUCUACUUUUUCGUGGGGGAUAACGUAGGGAAACUUACGCUAAUACAGCAUACGACCUACGGGUGAAAGCAGGGGAUCUUCGGACCUUGCGCGAUUGAAUGAGCCGAUGUCGGAUUAGCUAGUUGGCGGGGUAAAGGCCCACCAAGGCGACGAUCCGUAGCUGGUCUGAGAGGAUGGUCAGCCACACUGGAACUGAGACACGGUCCAGACUCCUACGGGAGGCAGCAGUGGGGAAUAUUGGACAAUGGGCGAAAGCCUGACCCAGCCAUACCGCGUGGGUGAAGAAGGCCUUCGGGUUGUAAAGCCCUUUUGUUGGGAAAGAAAAGCAGCAGGUUAAUACCCCGCUGUUCUGACGGUACCCAAAGAAUAAGCACCGGCUAACUUCGUG